rnacentral:rRNA from 1 species
CCUACGGGAGGCAGCAGUAGGGAAUCUUCCACAAUGGACGAAAGUCUGACGGAGCAACGCCGCGUGAGCGAUGAAGGCCUUCGGGUCGUAAAGCUCUGUUGUCAGGGAAGAACAAGUAUCGGAGUAACUGCCGGUACCUUGACGGUACCUGACCAGAAAGCCACGGCUAACUACGUGCCAGCAGCCGCGGUAAUACGUAGGUGGCAAGCGUUGUCCGGAAUUAUUGGGCGUAAAGCGCGCGCAGGCGGUUCCUUAAGUCUGAUGUGAAAGCCCCCGGCUCAACCGGGGAGGGUCAUUGGAAACUGGGGAACUUGAGUGCAGAAGAGGAGAGCGGAAUUCCACGUGUAGCGGUGAAAUGCGUAGAGAUGUGGAGGAACACCAGUGGCGAAGGCGGCUCUCUGGUCUGUAACUGACGCUGAGGCGCGAAAGCGUGGGGAGCGAACAGGAUUAGAUACCCUGGUAGUCCACGCCCUAAACGGUGGGCACUAGGUGUAGGGCUCGUAAGGGUUCUGUGCCGAAGGGAAACCAUUAAGUGCCCCGCCUGGGGAGUACGGCCGCAAGGUUGAAACUCAAAGGAAUUGACGG